AGGACGAACGCUGGCGGCGUGCUUAACACAUGCAAGUCGAGCGGAAAGGCCCUUCGGGGUACUCGAGCGGCGAACGGGUGAGUAACACGUGAGUAAUCUGCCCCUAGCUCUGGGAUAGCUCCGGGAAAACCGGGAUUAAUACCAGAUACGACCACUUUAGACAUCUGUUGUGGUGGAAAGAAUUUUGGCUAGGGAUGAGCUCGCGGCCUAUCAGCUUGUUGGUGAGGUAACGGCUCACCAAGGCGACGACGGGUAGCCGGCCUGAGAGGGCGACCGGCCACACUGGGACUGAGACACGGCCCAGACUCCUACGGGAGGCAGCAGUGGGGAAUAUUGCGCAAUGGGCGAAAGCCUGACGCAGCGACGCCGCGUGGGGGAUGAAGCCUUCGGUGUAAGCUCUUUGUGCGGAGAUAAUGACGGUACGCAAGAAUAAGCCCGGCUAACUUCGUGCCAGCAGCCGC
rnacentral:rRNA from 1 species